rnacentral:rRNA from 1 species
GUGCCAGCAGCCGCGGUAAUACCGGAGGGGGCUAGCGUUGUUCGGAAUUACUGGGCGUAAAGCGCACGUAGGCGGAUCAGAAAGUUGGGGGUGAAAUCCCGGGGCUCAACCUCGGAACUGCCUUCAAAACUAUUGGUCUUGAGUUCGAGAGAGGUGAGUGGAAUUCCGAGUGUAGAGGUGAAAUUCGUAGAUAUUCGGAGGAACACCAGUGGCGAAGGCGGCUCACUGGCUCGAUACUGACGCUGAGGUGCGAAAGCGUGGGGAGCAAACAGGAUUAGAUA